CAGUAGCGUAUAUUAAAGUUGUUGCAGUUAAAAUGCUCGUAGUUGAAGUUCGGAUGCAGCAGAGCUUGGAAACGCUGUUAUGGUGCUUCCGUUGCUUUUGCUCGUCCACAGUGCGUUGCAAGUACGUAUGUGCUUGUGCGUGCAUUUUACUUUGAGAAACAUAGGGUGUUCCACGCAUGUUACGGCAUGAAUAUUCCAGCAUGGGAUAAUCUGGUACGACUUCCAAUCUGCCAUUUUGGUUCGUAGGUUGGAAGUAAUGAUUAAUAGGGACUGUCGGGGGCAUUGGUAUUUGACUGUCAGAGGUGAAAUUCUUAGAUUCGUUGAGGACCAACCACUGCGAAAGCAUUUGUCAAGGAUGUCUCCAUUAA
rnacentral:rRNA from 1 species